UUUCUGACACUGAGGCACGAAAGCGUGGGGAGCGAACCGGAUUAGAUACCCCGGUAGUCCACGCCGUAAAACUAUGGAUACUAGCUGUUAGGGGGUAUCGACCCCCCCAGUAAGCGAAGCUAACGCGUUAAGUAUCCCCGCCUGUGGGAGUACGGUCGCAAGACUAAAACAUAAAGGAAUUGACGGGGACCCGCACAAGCGGUGGAUUGUGUUCUUUAAUUCGAUGAUAAACGGAGAACCUUACCAGGGUUUGACAUCCCAAGAAUUUUGCCGAAAGGCGAGAGUGCUUUAUUGAACUUGGUGACAGGUGAUGCAUGGCCGUCGUCAGCUCGUGUCGCGAGAUGUUUGGUUAAGUCCAUCAACGAGCGCAACCCUUGUGAUUAGUUGUAUUUUUCUAAUCAGACUGCCCCGGCAACGGGGAGGAAGGAGGGGAUGAUGUCAGGUCAGUAUUUCCCUUACAUCCUGGGCUAGAAACGCAAUACAAUGGCCAGUACAAUGUGCAGCGAAGCCGCGAGGUGAAGCAAAUCACAUCAAAGCUGGUCCCAGUUCGGAUAAGAGGCUGAAACUCGCCUCUUUGAAGUCGGAAUCGCUAGUAAUCGCAGAUCAGCAAGCUGCGGUGAAUACGUUCCCGGGUCUUGUACACACCGCCCGUCAAACCAUGAAAGUGACCAACACCCGAAGUCCGAUUCGUCGGCCUAAGGUGGGGGGCAUGAUUGGGGUUAAGUCGUAACAAGGUAUACCGUACCGGAAGGUGUU
rnacentral:rRNA from 1 species